UUUGUUUCUUUGCCCCAGGACUGACUUGAGCGUCGAAGUGCAAACGGCCGUCAAGGCACCCUUUGUCUUUGCAGGUGAGAGAUUCUUCAACCAAGAAAGUUCGAUUCUCAGGCGGAUACAGGUUGGCCAAAGAUUGUCGUUCGAGUCAACCGGCAAGCGAGUCAACCGACGAGAACAUUUGGCACCCACCGUGGGGCCCGAUAAAACAAGGUCUCACUCGCAAUCAUGUUAAGAG
rnacentral:lncRNA from 1 species